rnacentral:rRNA from 1 species
UACGAAGGGGGCUAGCGUUGCUCGGAAUUACUGGGCGUAAAGCGCACGUAGGCGGCUCUUUAAGUCGGGGGUGAAAUCCUGGAGCUCAACUCCAGAACUGCCUUCGAUACUGUAGAGCUUGAGUUCGGGAGAGGUGAGUGGAACUGCGAGUGUAGAGGUGAAAUUCGUAGAUAUUCGCAAGAACACCAGUGGCGAAGGCGGCUCACUGGCCCGAUACUGACGCUGAGGCACGAAAGCGUGGGGAGCGAUCCGG